rnacentral:lncRNA from 1 species
UCGAGAUCAGUCUGGAAUAGCCCUCUAAGAUCUGAAUUUUGAUUCUUCAAAAUUUAACCUGCUGAAUCUAAACGAAGACUGGAUCGUGAUUAACGUUUGAUCUUUUUUCUUGAUCCUUAUCUUCUUUUCCAAUCUAGUCUUUCUCCUUAUCUUGUAGUGCUACAAGAGACCAACAACCAGUAGAUGAAUGGCCGCUUAACACCUUGGGCGUGUGCAAAACUUGGGAUGCGUGUCCCAAGUUGUAUGGCAUGGGGACUCCUAAGGAGAAGAGAAAAAGGAAGGAAGAGAGGGCGUGGGAGGUUCUCUUGAGGUGGAGAGGGGCUGGCUUGGAUGAUCUUAGGACCUUAGAGGAGGUCCUCUUUUAUAGGUACAAAGAUUGAAUCUUAUUCAAUCAUAUAAUACAAGUCCUACUUGCAUUAGGAUUCCUAUUAUCUUAAGUUAUCCAACUUACAUUAGAAAGCUCAUUAGAUGCCAAGUAUUGGAGCUCUUGCAUCCAUAAUUAGACGUCCUAUUUUGCACCCAAGAGAUACCCCAUAUGAGAACUAAAGGUCCUCUAAUCAAUGGACAUGCCCAAAUUGAAUAAUUCAAAGUGGCACCCCAUAAUAACUAUUAAGGAGAUUCAUAAGAGACUUGCACCCUUAAUUUAUAUGAUCCAUAACCUU